AGUGCAGAAGGAGGGGGAGAAGGCACUCCAGGUGCCAGAGCUAAAACACCCCCGCAGCCCACAGAGAAGCCCGUGGUGGAGCAGGCUGACUCCACCCCCACAGCCCAUGGUGUACCACAGCAGAGCACAUCUCCAUGCUGCAGCCCAUGGAGAGGAGCCCAUGCAGGAGCAGGUGAUCGGAGGGAGGAGGUCCCCUGGGUGUCCCAAGCCAGACCAACCUGUUCCUGACGAAUAGACUCCGCGGCACAGACCCACACCUGGAGCAGCUCCCAAAGAGCCACUGCCUGUGGAAAAACCCACACAGGACCAGCCCAGGAAGGUCGGCACCCCAUGGGAGGGACCCCACACCAGAGCAGGGGAGAGAGCAACUGUGAAGGAGCAGUGGAAACUAAGCACCACGGAUUGACCACGGCCCCCCAUCACCACUCAAGACAGGGAAGAGGUGGAAGAGAGUGGAUGGGAGAAGGAACCCCCAGGUUGUUUCUUUGUUUCUCACCACUCUAGCCCGUCAGCAAUAGCACUGGAUUUCAUCCUGAACACAAAAGAAAUGGGAUCUCCAGGUCCGGACAAUAGCUGAAGGUACUGGAGUUGCAGAUUGGCCGACCCAGGCAUUCAGCUCAUGUCCACAUAGCCAGAAGAGACCACCUUUGCUAGGUGUUAAAGCAGCUGAGGAAGUGAUUCACAAACUCAAAUGCACAUGUGCUCUGAUAAAGGAAGAAACCCCUGCAAAAACCCACUGUGCCUGCAGCAGGUCCCCACGAAGACGGGGCACAAUUUGAAGCUCAUGCCCCACCGGUCUGCAGCCUUGGUUUGUCAUGGGAAAGAGCUGGCAAUGUCCUCAACAGCAUCAGACACUCCAGAAACACGACCUAUGUGUUUUGCCUGAAUUAUGAGAACGCAGAGGGCAUUCUUCAAAAAUACUUUGGGUAGCAUGCUGAUGGGCACAUACUGUGUCGGUAGGCAGGUUUACAUGCAUAGCCAUAAUGUUGAUGGACAAAAUAGUGUUCAGUUUGCAGUGGCAGCCUCUGUGUAGCCAUCCUGCAUGGCUACCCUGUGCAUUUCAAUUUUCUACAUAAAUGCUUUGGAAAAGGAGAUGGAAAACCUCUCUCUCUUUCCAACGCAACACACAGUCUGCACCCACUGCUAAAAAUUGUAUCAGUAUCAAUCUCCUCAGCAUCACAAACACACCCACAUGCGUCUGAAUCCUGAAAUGCUUAUUUUGCAAAGAGUGUGCCAAAAGAUUUACUUACUCUUUAGAACUGUUUAAUAAUGUUGUGGGGAUCAAAGGAGCAAGCAUUUUCAUGACAAAAGGAAUUUGUACUCCAGGCUUUACAGCACAGACAGUGAUUAGUGAGUCAUACAGAAGAAAGUGUCUCUCUUUUCUCUUUUAAAUAGCUGUUGUAGCAUUUACCUAAACAUUACAGUGCUGAAUCAGUAGUUUCUCAAGUCUUCACAGUGACUGCCUGAACUACACACCUUUACUUGGUACUCUCCUGGUGCUCUCUCCUCACCUGCAAAAUGUGUUCAGCACAGUUAGGUGGCUGCUAGC